GAGUAAUGCCUAGGAAUCUGCCUGGUGGUGGGGGGAUAACGUUCGGAACGGAACGCUAAUACCCGCAUACGUCCUACGGGAGGAAAGCGGGGGAUCUUCGGACCUCGCGCCAUUAGAUGAGCCUAGGUCGGAUUAGCUAGUUGGUGAGGUAAUGGCUCACCAAGGCGACGAUCCGUAACUGGUCUGAGAGGAUGAUCAGUCACACUGGAACUGAGACACGGUCCAGACUCCUACGGGAGGCAGCAGUGGGGAAUAUUGGACAAUGGGCGAAAGCCUGAUCCAGCCAUGCCGCGUGUGUGAAGAAGGUCUUCGGAUUGUAAAGCACUUUAAGUUGGGAGGAAGGGUAGUAACCUAAUACGUUGCUACUUUGACGUUACCGACAGAAUAAGCACCGGCUAACUUCGUG
rnacentral:rRNA from 1 species